UGGGGAAUUUUGGACAAUGGGCGAAAGCCUGAUCCAACAAUGCCGCGUGUGUGAAGAAGGCCUUCGGGUUGUAAAGCACUUUUGUCCGGAAAGAAAUCCUUGGCUCUAAUACAGUCGGGGGAUGACGGUACCGGAAGAAUAAGCACCGGCUAACUACGUGCCAGCAGCCGCGGUAAUACGUAGGGUGCAAGCGUUAAUCGGAAUUACUGGGCGUAAAGCGUGCGCAGGCGGUUUGCUAAGACCGAUGUGAAAUCCCCGGGCUCAACCUGGGAACUGCAUUGGUGACUGGCAGGCUAGAGUAUGGCAGAGGGGGGUAGAAUUCCACGUGUAGCAGUGAAAUGCGUAGAGAUGUGGAGGAAUACCGAUGGCGAAGGCAGCCCCCCUGGGCCAAUACUGACGCUCAUGCACGAAAGGCGUGGGGAGCAAACAGGAUUAGAUACCCUGGUAGUCCACGCCCUAAACGAUGUCAACUAGUUGUUGGGGAUUCAUUUCCUAGUAACGUAGCUAACGCGUGAAGUUGACCGCCUGGGGAGUACGGUCGCAAGAUUAAAACUCAAAUGAAUUGACGGGGUCAUAGCUGUUU
rnacentral:rRNA from 1 species